rnacentral:rRNA from 1 species
AUUGAACGCUGGCGGCAGGCCUAACACAUGCAAGUCGAACGGUAGCACAGAGAGCUUGCUCUCGGGUGACGAGUGGCGGACGGGUGAGUAACGUCUGGGAAACUGCCCGAUGGAGGGGGAUAACUACUGGAAACGGUAGCUAAUACCGCAUAACGUCGCAAGACCAAAGUGGGGGACCUUCGGGCCUCACACCAUCGGAUGUGCCCAGAUGGGAUUAGCUAGUAGGUGGGGUAAUGGCUCACCUAGGCGACGAUCCCUAGCUGGUCUGAGAGGAUGACCAACCACACUGGAACUGAGACACGGUCCAGACUCCUACGGGAGGCAGCAGUGGGGAGUAUUGCACAAUGGGCGCAAGCCUGAUGCAGCCAUGCCGCGUGUAUGAAGAAGGCCUUCGGGUUGUAAAGUACUUUCAGCGGGGAGGAAGGCGGUGGAGUUAAUAACUUCACCGAUUGACGUUACCCGCAGAAGAAGCACCGGCUAACUCCGUGCCAGCAGCCGCAGUAA